rnacentral:lncRNA from 1 species
CAGCUAAAUUUUAAAGGUGUUUUUGUAGAGAUGAGGUUUCACUAUAUUGCCCAGGCUGGUCUCGAACUCCUGGACUUAAGUGAUCCUUCCUCUUUGGCCUCCCAAAGUGCUGGGAUUACAGGCAUGAGCCACUGCCCCAGCCAAGACUGUCUUUUCUCCAUUGUAUUGCGUUUGCUUCCUUGUCAAAGAUCAGUUGACUAUAUUUGUGUGGGGCUAUUUCUGGGCUCCCUAUUUGUUUCCAGUGAUUAUGUCUAUUUUUUCACCAUUACCACCCUAUCUUAAUUACUGUAGCUUUAUAGUGAGUCUUAAAGUUGGGUAAUAUCAGUCUUCUGACCUUUUUCUCUUUCAAUAUUGUGCCAGCUAUUCUGGGUCUUUUGCCUUUCCAUGUAAACUUUAGAACCAGUUUGUCAGGAUCCACAAAAUACUUUGCUGGGUUUUGAUUGGGAUUGCAUUGAAUCCACAGGUCAAGUUGGCAAAAACUGACAUACAGCAAUGCCAGUUUAUUGUUUUGUGAUAGCCUUAAUCCAGCUAGUUUCUUCACAGGAUGAUGUUGAAAAUAUGGGAUGCUCAUAAUCCCUGAAUAUUUUUUAUGUGGAUAAUUAAACUUGUUCUGGGUGGAUGGUUGGAUAGCCAGAAUAGUAAUAACCUCUCUUCCAGCCACUCAAAGAAAAUGAUAUAAACGUAGGGUUGGUUUAAUUGUUGAGAGGUCACGUUUUUUCCAUUCUUGCUUGCUCUCAGGUAAGGAAAGAGCACUGUUGGUUCACGCAUUCCUUUUUCCCUCAUACACUUUGUUGGGCACUGAUAUGGUUUGGCUCUGUGUUCCCACCCAAAUCUCAUGUUGAAUUGUGAUCCUGAGUGUUGGAGGUGGGGCCUCGCGGGAGACGACUGGAUCAUGGGGGCGGAUUUUCCCCUUGCUGUUCUCAUGAUAGUGAGUUCUCAUGAGAUCUGGUUGUUUAAAAGUGUAUAGCACUUCCUGCUUCACUCUCUCCCACUCCACCAUGUGAAGAAGGUGCCUUUGCCCUUCCGCCACGACUGUGUUUCCUGAGGCCUCCCCAGCCAUGCCUCCUGUACAGCCUGCGGAACUGUCAGUUAAACCUCUUUUCUUCAUUAAUUACCCACUCUCAGGUGGUUUUUUAUGGCAGUGUGAGAACGGACUAAUACAGAAAAUUGGUACCAGAGAAGUGGGAUAUUGCUAUAAAAUACCUGAAAAUGUGGAAGUGACUUUGGAACUGGGUAAUGGGCAGAGGUUGGAACAGUUUGGAGGGCUCAGAAGAAGACAGGAAGAUGAGGGAAAGUUUGCAGCUUCCUAGAGACUUGUUGAAUGGUUGUGACCAAAGUGCUGAUAGUGAUAUGGACAGUGAAGUCCAGGCUGAGUUGGUCUCAGAUGGGAGAUGAGAAUCUUAUUCCGAACUGGAGUGAAGGUCACUCUUGGCUGUGCUUUAGCAAAGAGAGUGGUGGCAUUGUGCCCCUGCUCUAGAGAUCUGUGAACUCUGAACUCGAGAGGGUAUCUGGCAGAAAAAAUUUCUAAGCAGCAAAGUGUUCAAGAUGUGGCCUGAUUGCUUCUAAAAGCCUAUGCUCAUUUGCAUGAACAAAGUGGAACUUAUAUUUAAAACAGAAGCUGAGCUUUUAUAAAAGUUUGGAGAAUUUGCAGCCCAACCAUGUGGUGAAAAAGAAAAAUCCAUUUUCUGGGGAGGAAUUCAAGGCUGCAGAAAUUUGCAUAAGAAGAGCCUCAUGUUAACAGCCAAGAGAGUGAGGAAAAUGCCUCUAGAGCAUUUCAGAGACCUUCACAGCAGCUCCUCCCAUCACAGGCAUGGAAGCCCAGGAGGAAGAAAUGCUUUUGUGGGCCAGCCCAGGGCCCCACUGUUCUGUGCAGCCUUGGGACAUGGUGCCCUGCAUCCCAGCCACUCCAGCUCCAGCUGUGACUAAAAGGGGCCAAGGUACAGCUUGGGCUGCUGCUUCAGAGGGUGCAAGCCCCAAGCCUUGGUGGCUUCCAUGUGGUGUUAGGCAGGUGUGCAGAAGAGUUGAGGUUUAGGAACCUCUACCUAGAUUUCAGAGGAUGUAUGGAAAUGCCCGGAUGUCCAGGCAGAAGUUUGCUGCAGAGGCAGAGCCCUCAUAGAUAACCUCUGCGAGGGCAGUGUGGAGGGGAAAUGUGGGGUUGGAGCUAUGAGAAGAGGGCCACCAUCCACCAGACCCCAGAAUUGUAGAUCCACUGACAGCUUGCACUAUGCACCUGUAAAAGUUGCAGGCAGUUAAUGCUAGCCUGUGAAAGCAGCUGUGGGGACUAUAUGCAGAGCCACAGAGGCAGAGCUGCCCAGAGCCUUGGGAGCCCACUCCUUGUGUCAGUGUGGCCUGGAUGUGAGACGUGGAGUCAAAGAUCAUUUUGGAGGUUUGAGAUUUAAUGACUGCCCUCCUGGAUUUUGGACUUGCAUGGGGCCCAUAGCCCCUUUGUUUUGGCUGAUUUCUCCUAUUUGGAAUGGGAGCAUUUACCCAAUGCCUGUAUCCCCAUUGUAUCUUGGAAAUAACUGACUUGUUUUUGAUUUUACAGGCUCACAGGAGGAAGGGACUUGGCUGGUCUCAGAUGAGACUUGACUUGGACAUUUGAGUUAAUGCUGGAAUGAGUUAAGACUUUAGGGGGCUAUUGGGAAGGCAUGAUUGUGUUUUGAAAUGUGAGGACAUGAGAUUUGGGAGGGGCCGGGGUGGAAUGAUAUGGUUUGGCUGUGUCCCCCCACCCAAAUCUCAUGUUGAAUUGUGAUCCUGAGUCUUGGAGGUAGAGCCUGGUGGGAGGUGAUUGGAUCAUGGGGGCAGAUUUCCCCCUUGCUGUUCUCAUGACAGUGAGUUCUCAUGAGAUCUGGUUAAGUGUGUAGCACUUCCCCCUUUGCUUGCUCUCUCCCUCUGCCAUGUGAAGAAGGUGCUUGCUUUCCCUUCGCCCUUCUGCCAUGACUGUAAGUUUCUUGAGGCCUCGCAGCCAUGCUUCCUGUACAGCCUGCAGAACUGUGAGUUAAUUAAACCUCUUUUCUUCAU